AUAGGUACCCGGACGCGGAAGAAGUGGCCCCGCAGAGGUUCCCGCUUCCGAAGCGUGGGAGGCUGAAGAGGUGGCAGGUUGUAGAUUUUGAUCUUGGCCCUUACGGGUUCCCCGGGCCAUUAGAACCUGUGAGGAAGAGGAGGCAUUGCAGUGGCGGCAGAGGGGACGAAUCCUUCCACCAGUCCUCGAGGCGGGAGGGGGCAGGGUCAGGAGAAGCCCCGAUCCCAGGUCUGAGGAGUCUCCGGACCGGAUCCCGGAGUAUGGGGGGCUGGACAAAGUCCCUGAGCAUGGGGAGCUGGAUCUGCCGAGACCUCCCCUCCGAGCCCUGCCCGAUUGUCCAGUCUUGGUUACUAACACUGCCCAGGGAGACGCGGCAUCUAUAGCCGGUCCCCGCCGGUGGCCCUCGGCGGGAAAGACAGCGGCAUGAGUUCCGCCAUUGCCUAGUUUCCUCCCCUUCUUCCUCUUCUCCCGCUGGCCUUCCUCUCUUCCCCAUAUCUCCUCCUUCCUUCCCGUCCUGCGCUAUUUCCCUACCGUCUUUCCUCCUUUCACCUCUUACCUCUGCCCUGCCUUACCAUCUAUCUACUUUCCAUCCCUCUUCUUUUCCCUCCUCCCUCCAUCCUUGCCUUCCCGCCAUCAAUCUUUCCUCUACCCCUUUUUUUUCAUUCUGUCGCCGACCAACACAUCCUCCAUCCUUCUCCCCUUGCUCACCACCAUCCUCUCCUCCUCAUCAGCUUCCUUCCCUCCUCCUCCUCCCCCUCUAUUUUCUCCACCCCCAAGCCUCCGCCUCCUAGCCCCCGCCCCCCAGCUGCCAGUCCCCAGAAGCUCAGUCGUGCUGUGAGUCUUGGAAGCCCAUAGCUAAGCACCGGGAGCUGAGUACUGCCCGUUGUGCCUGCCUGCAAGUCUCCGACAUGGCUCAGGAGAAAAUGGAGCUGGACUUUGAGCCUGACAUCUCUCUUGGGAGUACCCUGAGGAGGUCCAACAGCGCUCCCCUGAUCCAUGGGCUCAGUUGCUGGAGAACACCAGCUGGCCAGAACACACCAGCGGCCAGAGCACGGUGCAGCCAGAGCGAUUUUUCACAGGUUUUUCAACCUUACUCGUUUAAAACUCGGAGGAAUAGUACAACAAUUAUGAACAGCCGCACUUUUUUGCUGCCAUCUUCAACUAAUCGUAUUCCUAGUAGCAGACUGCAUCAAAUCAAAAGGGAAGAAGGCCUGGAUAUAAUGAAUAGAGAAACUGCACAUGAAAGGGAGGUGCAAACAGCUAUGCAGAUAAGCCAGUCGUGGGAUGAAAGCUUGAACCUGAGCGAUAAUGAUUUUGACAAGCCGGAGAAACUGUAUUCUCCUAAGAGAAUUGACUUCACUCCAGUUUCCCCAGCACCUUCACCCACCAGAGGAUUUGGAAAGCAAUGCUUUUCACCAUCUUUACAAAUGUUUGUGAGCAGCAGUGGAUUGCCAUCGAGUACUUUUGGAACUCCGAGACGAUUUUCAACCCGGAGAAGUCAAAGCCCAGUGAAGUGCAUUAGACCCAGUGUUCUUGGUCCUAUUAAGAGAAAAGGUGAGAUGGAGACUGAAAGCCAGCCCAAGAGACUCUUUCAAGGCACCACCAACAUGCUCUCUCCAGAUGCGGCACAACUGUCUGAUCUCAAUUCAUGUUGCAGGCCAUUAGUGGAAGUAAAGCUUAUUAAAACCUCCAACGAGCUUAAGCAAGGAAAAGAAGAAGUCGAAUCACAACAGACUUUGUUGCUGUUAGAAGCUCUGGCAUAAGAUUUAAUAGUGGUCAGUGUGAAAAUAUGUGUAGUCAUCUGAGUGGAUUAAAGAACUAUUCCGGAUGUUAUGGAUGGCAGUAGUAGCAGCAGUGGCUUAUCCUCAGACUCACUGGCUACAGGCAGCGCUCCCGCAGAAUCUCCAGUAGCAUGCUCCAAUUCAUGCUCUCCGUUCAUCUAGGUGGAUGAUCUCUCACCCAAGUGACUUGCCCAUUUCUGACUGUUUUAACUGCUGUUUCCCACAUAAAACAUUCUGGGAGGAAAGCAGAUAACUUUGGUCCGUAAUGCGGAUUAAAGUCUGACAGAUGUCAACCAUUCUGAUGCUGUUGUUUUGGGGCAUCUCUUUCCUCUAAAUUUCGAUUUUCUGAGCUUACUAAUAGCUGGUUUUGCUUAUCUCAUUUUGCGUCUAGUGACUAAAUCUCAAAUACUCAUUUUUUUAAUCACAUAGAGGAUUUUUUUGUCUUGGUACCUCAGUGAACACCUGUUUUCAAAUCUGUGUGUUUAAGAAAGUCACUGAUGGCUAUUUUCUAUAAUGGUUCUUUUCCCCCAGCAGUGAUACAACAGAGUUGAUCAGAAAUUCUCUUGCUUGAGAGAUUUUUUUUGUUCUCUGUGGAUUACAUACUUUCCAAUCUCUAUUUCAUAGUGAUAUACAAGUUGCUUUUGAUUAUAUUGAAAUUUUAUUUUUCUGCAUUGGCUUAAAGUGCAUUAUUUUGUUUCCCUUCUCUGUCUGAGCUGCUUCCUUGCCAUUCCUCACAACAGGGAAGAAACAUGUAGCUGCUUCCAUCACUACCCUUACUGCUUCUUGCUGUUGGAGUGUAUGAAGUGAGCGUUGAUUUAAUAUCAAAAAUGUAAUUGCACUUACAGGAUUAGUUACUGCAGGUCCUUAUGACUUUGAUGCCACAGUUGAUAUGUCUCCCCUCAGAUCUGUAGCCCUAAGGAAUAUAUAAAAUAUUGUUGAUGUUUUUAGGUGGUGUUACCAAGGAGAAGAAAUUCCUGCCUUGACCAGAUGUGUGGAGCAUCUACAAAUGAACGAAUAAUGUUCUUUACACAAAACCACUGUGUACAAAAGCAGGCAUCUGUGGAGCUAUCAGUGUUUCUGGUGGUAUCAUGAGGCCUUAGGCGCCUUGGGUACAUCACCAUGCUAGAAGGAAUUUAUAUUGUAAGGUCGCAUGGAAAAGGAGGCUUUGUGUGAUUGCCACAUACUGUUUUGUUUGCUGCUUUGUUCUGACUCUUUUUUGUCAUUGGAUUUGUUUGUUUUGUUGUGUGGUGAUUGGUGUUUUGGUUAUCGUGUUGCCUCAGAGUAGGAAUCCAGUUCUUAUUCAUUCCGUGUUAUCAUACAAGCAGUUUACUAUCUGUAAGGAAGCUUUUAGGAGUUGAAAAAGUCAACAUUAGCGUGCAUUCUGCUUAAAGAAGCUGUUUGAACCAUAAACAGCCGACAUGCUAGUAAGUGUGAAGUACCAAAUGUUAUUUAACUUUUAUUAGAGAAGUCUUCUGAGUGAGUCAUUUAAGCACUCUUGAGUGUAAUCUAAUGUUAUGUUAAUGUACUAUUUAUUUCUCUGUGUAAAUGUCUGUUUUGAUAAGUUUCUUUCCAUUUAGACAUUGGGUAUGGAAUGUCUAGUAUGCACAUGUACACACUAAGAUCAUAAUAUUCCAUUUUAAGUGAAUGUAAGAAACGAAAACUACUGCACUUGUAUCUUUUGAAGGCAAAGAUUCUUGGACUUGAAAAGAAAAUGGUGUGAUUUGAAGGCACUUAGAAACUAGUAAUAGUUUGAAGGGAAACCCAUUCUCUUAAUUACUAGAGAGCAUCGCUUGGCUUGCAGUACAGUGAUUUUAUCACAGAUUCAGAUGUGUCCUUUCUUUUAAAUUGUAACCAGCACCAUAACAAGCCUCCCUGACUUUAGUUCCUGGGUCAUUUUGCCUGUGCAACAUGCAUAAUCUGCCAAGCCUAGCAUACAAAGCAUCUGUUACGAAAAUUGCCCCCUUGUAUGCCAUUUCAAAGAAAAAAUUUCUUUGAUGGUAUUCAGUGUAUCUAUUCUAUCUCUAAAAGGACCAUGCUAAGAUGUUUUUGUCCCUCUGAUGAUAGUAGAUGGUUUUGUCUUUCAGGAGAUUUGUCUGCUUUCACUCUACUUUCUUAUUUGCCUUAAAGGGACACUUGUAGGUUCUAACUUAGGACUAUUAAGAGAUAACCUUUGAAAUGUGGUGAUCUUUACAUUUAUUUUUGAAGUUCAGUGGUGGGAUAGAACUUGAGGAAGAAAUUCUUACAGCGGUCAGAUUACCAGGAGACAGGAUAAUUGACUUUGUUCAAACCAAGGUUCAUUUUUAUUCGUUUUUGUACAGAUGGACUAAAGGCUGGACAUAGUGGUAUCUGUCAUCCCAGGUAAUCGAGAGGUUGAGACAGGAGGAUCACAAGUUUAGCCUGGCCUGGGCAAGUCCCUGUCCCAAAGGAUAGGGUGAGUAACUCAGUAGUAGAGCACUUGCCCAUCUUGUCAGUCUCCAGUACCAGGAUAAACAAAUGGACUAGAAAGUUAAGUUUGUGCAAAGAUCGUUCUGUAAUAAGAGAUAUGCUAGCCCACAGAUGAGCUUUGUUGACAAGUAUCCCUUUAUUUUUAUAUAAAGUCUAAUAUUUGAAAAGUGGUUAUUGUUAUAAAGUAAAAUUCUCUCUUCUUAUUCUAAUAUUAUAUCAUAUAUUCCAAGUUUCUAUUUGAAAACAAGUAUGAGAUGUUAUACAUUAGGAAAAUCCUAUAGAUACUGUUUUGGCUUGAUACUUAAUCACUAUGUUUCAUAAUGGCUUUUGGAAUAACAAAGUUUUGUGAAAUGCUGGCCUUGUGUAUAUCUUAGAAUGCAAAAUUAAUAAAGUACAUGCAUAAAAUAUAGUA